rnacentral:rRNA from 1 species
UUCCAGACUCCUACGGGAGGCAGCAGUGAGGAAUAUUGGUCAAUGGGCGCGAGCCUGAACCAGCCAAGUAGCGUGAAGGAUGACUGCCCUACGGGUUGUAAACUUCUUUUAUAAAGGAAUAAAGUGAGGCACGUGUGCCUUUUUGUAUGUAUUUUAUGAAUAAGGAUCGGCUAACUCCGUGCCAGCAGCCGCGGUAAUACGGAGGAUCCGAGCGUUAUCCGGAUUUAUUGGGUUUAAAGGGUGCGUAGGCGGAAUAUCAAGUCAGCGGUAAAAAUUCGGGGCUCAAUCCCGUCGUGCCGUUGAAACUGAUGUUCUUGAGUGGGCGAGAAGUAUGCGGAAUGCGUGGUGUAGCGGUGAAAUGCAUAGAUAUCACGCAGAACUCCGAUUGCGAAGGCAGCAUACCGGCGCCCAACUGACGCUGAAGCACGAAAGCGUGGGUAUCGAACAGGAUUAGAUACCCGUGUAC